GGAAUUUGAUUUUGGUUGCAAAGCUGAAAUUUAAAGGAAUUGACGGAAGGGCACCACCAGGAGUGGAGCCUGCGGCCUAAUUUGACUCAACACGGGAAAACUUACCAGGUCCGAACAUAAGUGUGUAAGACAGAUUGAUAGCUCUUUCCCGAAUCUACGGGUUGUGGUGCAUGGCCGAUCUUAGUUCGUGGAGCGAUUUGUCCGGUUAAUUCCGAUAAUGAACGAGACUCAAAUAUAUUAAAUAGACAUCUUCAGGAUUAUGGUGUUGAAGCUGAUAUUGCCUUCAUUCAUGGUAGUAGUAAAAUGUUUAUUGUGUAUAAAUGUGUUUAUAUAAGUGGAGCCGUACCUGUUGGUUUGUCCCAUUAUAAGGACACCAGCUAGCUAACAGGUCUGUGAUGCCCUUAGAUGUCCUGGGCUGCACGCGUGUAUUUCCUAGAUCGAGAGGUCCGGGUAAACCGCUGAACCACUUUCAUGCUUGUCUAAUUAGGAGAGUCGUUAAAAACUAAUCUAAUUUUUGAAUUCAGAAUACCAUAUUAUAUAUGUAGCUCUCAUACA
rnacentral:ncRNA from 1 species